rnacentral:misc_RNA from 1 species
AACGAGGCCGACCUGCGGCUGAGUUACCUGCGGAGGGAUCAUUACAAGUGACCCCGGUUUACCACCGGGAUGUUCAUAACCCUUUGUUGUCCGACUCUGUUGCCUCCGGGGCGACCCUGCCUUCGGGCGGGGGCUCCGGGUGGACACUUCAAACUCUUGCGUAACUUUGCAGUCUGAGUAAACUUAAUUAAUAAAUUAAAACUUUUAACAAUGGAUCU